AAUGGGAUGAACAGCCCAGGCAUCUCUACCUUUAAGCCAUCACUGCUGCCUUUGGCACUUGAACCUUUGAAUCGGACUCUGCUCUGUUCUACGCAGAGAAACAUUUUGUUGAGGACAGCAACCAAAGUGGGCGUGGCCUGCCUCCUGCGGGGAGCACAAAGGUGGGUUUUUGUUUUUAUGUAUCAACUCUGUUCUCUUUGUCUCCACAGCUCCAGCACCCGUUUAAGUCCUCAGUUUUACCGUAAGGACCCAGAUUCAUCUACAGGGCCAGAGUGUGACCUCAAGAGGGUGGUGUCAGCUCAAAGGCCACUCAGCUGCUCUCAGCUGUCUUUGCUGGAAUGGAAAGAGAUCUUGUUGUAAGAGGAGCGUUGGAUGAACCAGCCCCAACCCAGGGUCUAGAGUUUGAGGAGUGACAAGGGCAGAUCUCUAAGGAAGCGAAACUCCUCUGAGACCCGACAGGGAACCAGCUUCCUCGAGGAACCUGAGUGAAAGGAGGACCUGUCACCUGAGCCUCCUCAGGUCAUCCAUCGUCCUCGAAGGAUCCAUCCUGAGGCAUCAACUGAAAAUUAUGGCUCCUGAGAAAGAAUAAAGCACACUGUUCACUGCCAGGAUGAGUGUCCCUGUGGCAGCAUCUAGAGCUUGCCUGUUGCUCCUGCUAACGACCUCUGUCCCCCGUGUGGCCCUUUCUUUCUGUCACUUCUGUAGCUGUACUGUUGACAACUCUUCUCUAGGUGUCUCUGAAGCCCUGAAAGGCCUCUCAGCUUGGCAUGGCCCCCCGCCCCGCCCCAGCUCGCUCUCUUGAUGCCCAUGUGUGUGACUUGACAGCAUUCCUGCCUUGCUGGCCCACUGCCCCACUCCAAGGAAGGACGCUCUCAAGGUCCAGGUCCCUGGCAGAGAGGAAAGGAGGUUGGUUCCUGACAGAGUUGUGAGGAGGAUGGAGAGGAGAAGACCCUGGCGCAGACCCCCACCUGGCCCCACCUCCUGCGAGGGUAUCACUGUUGGUUCACUCUGACUCUGUAUUCACCUGACGUGCUGAGGAGCCUGGGCAGGCUCUCGUGAUCACACCCGCUCUGCUGGGCUGGCCCUUGUACCAGCAAGGAGGCCCAGGAGGCUCCAGUGCUUCUGCUCCUGCUCUGUUCACCCCUCCCCCGUGCCUGGUGUUCACACAGGCUCCCAGUGGCCUGGGACUGAUGUCUUCUUACUUACCAACAGUGUCAGGGCAACAUCAGUGGAAUGAGAACCCUGCUGAGCACAUGGGGCAGCUGUUUCCGUGGGACCUGCUGUCCUGACCUGGGAGUGCCAUGCUGGGGACAUGCUGAGGACCACAGGUGAUUUGAUGAAGGAGGUGCAGGAGUGGCCUCCAGGGGCACAGCCCACCUCCACUGACCCCCUGGCUCCCUGAGGCAGAGACACGGGUGCAGAGCUGGCCUAUCACAUGCUCUUUCCUGGUACCCUGAGUUUUUGGGUGAAUGAAGAAAAGGAGGGAGGAGAGAGAGGGUGGUGACUCCUCCAGGGGACAUGCCCCAGGAUCUGAGCUUAGGGUGGAGCUGCUACGCCCUGGCCACCAUGGCUUCUGGUUUUCCAACCUGGUCUCCCCACCCUGUGAAGAGCCCACUAUCACACAUUGUCCUGGCGGCUGAGGACCUUGGCUGUACCUCAGCCCGUUUGUUGGCCAGUGAGAAUGUUUCUGGACACCCUACACUCCUUUUCUGGACAACCGUAGGAUGUGUGGACAGGAUGACUGUGGGCCCCAGGCCCCUUCUCCAUACAGAAAGAGGGCACACAGAGCCAGCUAUGGCGAGUCAUGCAGCAUGAGCCUAGAGUGUGUGAGCUCUGGGUUCCCACAAUACGGAGGCAGGACAGGGAUGCAGAUAAAAGGGGCCCAUGAACUAGCUUUUCCAGACCAGACCAAAUCUUUAAUUUUCUUAGUCCCGAUUUUCAACUUUAAAGUCAUGACUCUAGGAACUGGAGAGGUGGCUCAGUGGUUAAGAGCACUUGCUGUUCUCCCAGAGGACCAGGGUUCGAUUCCCAA